rnacentral:rRNA from 1 species
UACAGAGGUCCCGAGCGUUGUUCGGAUUCACUGGGCGUAAAGGGUGCGCGGGUGGGCUGUCAAGUUCGAUGUGAAAGCCCCGGGCUUAACCCGGGAAUGGCAUUGGAUACUGAUGGUCUGGAGGAUCGGAGGGGGGACUGGAAUUCUUGGUGUAGCAGUGAAAUGCGUAGAUAUCAAGAGGAACACCAGUGGCGAAGGCGAGUCCCUGGACGAUACCUGACACUGAGGCACGAAAGCCGGGGGAGCAAACAGG